GGAUGCGAUCAUACCAGUACUAAAGCACCGGAUCCCAUCAUAACUUCGAAGUUAAGUGUGCUUGGGCGAGAGUAGUACUAGGAUGGGUGACCUCCUGGGAAGUCCUCCAUCAUAACUC
rnacentral:rRNA from 1 species